rnacentral:rRNA from 1 species
UUUAGAUAGUAUGCAGUAGCAGGGUUAAUGAGGAGGGUGUCGGCGGUAAUGGUGAGUACGUGGUGGUAAGCGGGCGCAGACGGUUUUUGCAGGCUGAUUGUAACUGCUCGGGCUUAGCCUGGGGUGGGCCUUUGUGACUGUGAGGCUGGGGUGGGGAAGAGGAGUGUAGAAUUCCAUGUUGAGCAGUGAAAUGAGUAGAUAUCAGGAGGUAUGCCGAUGGCGAAGGCAGGUAUCUGGGCUUACACUGACGCUCAUGCCCGAAAGCGUGGGGAGCAAACAGGAUUAGAUACCCGAGUAGUC